CACCCAGUUUUGUGUCAUCUGAAAAUCAUUCCCUGCACUUUCGCAUCCAAGUCAUUAAUGGAAACAUUGAAGAGCGCUGGCCCUGAACCCUGCAUUGCUCUACUUGUUACCUCUCCCCAGUUUGAGAAGGUGCUGUUGAUGAGCACUCUUUGAUUCUAUAGCCCGCUGUGGAUCCACCUGAUAGUUUUUCCACGUUUAGCUAGUUUGCUAUUCAGGUUAUCACGGGACACUGCAUCAAAAGUUUUGCUGAAGUCAUGGUUAUGUCCACAGAGUUCCCACAGUCCAUCAGGGAAGUUUCCCAAUCAAAAAAUGAGAUCAGAUUCAUCUGGCAGGAUUUGUUCUUCAGAAAUCCAUGUUGGCUUCUAGUGAUCACUGUAUUGUUUUCAAGGUGUGUGCAGCUUUAUAAUCUGCUUCAGAAUUGUCCCAGAGAUUGGUGUCAGACUGCCUGGCCUGUAGUUUCUAGGUAGUUUUUUUUUUUCUUUUCUUGAAGAUGGGGGACAACAUUAGCCCUUCUCCAGUCAUCUGACAGUUCCCUGGUCCUCCAUGUUUUCUCAAAGAUAAUAGACAGUGGUUCUGAGAGUUCUUGCACCAGCUCCUUUUUGUCUCUAGGAUGGAGUUCCUUGGGCCCUGAAGAUUUAAACUCAUUCAGCCCAAUUAGAUGACCCUUGUCAAUUUGCCCAUCAAUCUUGAGCUGGCAUCCUGCUCCUGCAGCUUGUACUUCCCCUUCAUCAGGAAGGUUAUAGAUGUUCUUUUGGGAGAAGACUGAGCCAAAGUUGGAAUUGGGCACUUCUGCCUUUUUUUGCAAUCCAGAUGGAGUAGUUGAACCUGCACUACUUUCCUCGAUCCUUUAUUAUGGACAUUUCUGAAGAAGGCUUUUUUGUUGCUUUUGGCAUGUCGCGCUAGUCUCACUUCAUUUCUGCCUUUAACCUACCUGACAUGAUCCCUGCCAUUCUGUGCUACUGGCCUGUAAUCUUCCUUUGUACUCUGGUCCUCCUUUCACGUCUUACACAUGUCCUUUUUUGCUUUCAGAUAAUCUCUGAGCUUUUUCAAGGAUAGGCUGGACGUCCACAUGGUGGGCAUGUCGUGAGCGGAGCCGGCUGGUGCCGGAGGUCAGACUAGAUGGCCCAGGUGACCCCUUCUGACUCGCUAUGUUUCUAUGUUUUGUGAAGCUUUAUGGGCUUCUGUUGUCUUCUACCCCCUUUUGCCUUUUUAGAAUUGUUUAUAAUUGUGCUUUUAGAAUGUACUUAAAAAUAAUUCCUAUCCAUCUGGAACAUCAUUUCUCAUUAAAGUCAUACUCUAUUGUACAAUCCUGUCAGCACAUUUCUGCUGCUGGCACGCUUGGAUUUCUGUGGCAACCAACUAGCAGGUCUUCAAGCUCUUAAAAACACUCAGGCCUCAUUUAGACUCCCGGCUGUGAGGAGGGCUUUUUAUGCUGUUUCUGUGGCAAGCUUAACAUGUCAAGAAAGAUUUUAAAGGGUUGUGAAUUUGGAGGGACAAAUGUGCAGUGGUUGAGAGAUGCAGAGGUAGGGAACAAUUAUUUUCCCGUUCUUUCAGUUCCAUAUGACUGUCUCAAGGACUACUUACUGGUCUCAUCUACAGCAUGUACGUGGGAGACUGUUUAUGUAACUUACUCCUUUUUCAGAAUGGUGCAUACCAAUCUCAGUACUGGGCCCAUUUCCUAGCUUUCUAAGUUCCUUCUAACUUAGGGCUGCUUUGUGCGUGCUUAUGUUAAGGGUGGGGGACCAAAUCCAGCCCUGCUGGGACCCAGUCUGGUCCUCUGGGAUUCCCCAGCAGGCCAUGCCCCCUUCUCCCACAUCCAUUUGUUUGCCCUAGCCAUUCACUGUUGGGUGGUUUCCCUGCUUUUGUGCAUUUUCCACUUCAUUCCAAAAGGACAGCAGUAAGCACCUUCAAGCUAUAAUUUGUUAGUAAUGUGUAUUUUUGGCCACACACCUUUUGAUGUUGAUGCUGGCCUACCUCCUUGCCUUUAACAGUGCCUAGCAAGGCCCUACCAAGGCUCUUCUUGAGACGGAAUGAUUUUUUAAAAUUGAGAUAUGAAAAAGAGGGAAACAUCCCUGUUCAGUGCUUCACGGGGUGUAUGAAUCUCCCUUAGUUUUCUGUAUCCUAACUUGCAUAGAAAUGGCUAUUCUGCUAUUGGCUUAGGUUCCAGGACUGCUUUUUUGUCUGAACUUUUGGGGAAAGUGUGGGAUGAAUAGGUAGCUGGGGUGUGCUGCAAGGCCUUGGCUUUCCUCAGUCCUUUUAUAGCCUUCUGCCCAUUCCCUUCAGAUGCCUCUGUGGUAGAAGUUCUGUUUUCCUUGGUGUGACAGUCAGGGUGCGUCCUUCCCCUGUACAAGAAGUGGCAAAGAUAUGGCCAAGGUGCCAAGUGCAUUUUCACCAACUUUUCUCCCAGUCAUGCCUUGUUCAGGUAUUGUUAAGAGAACUUUUCAAAUAGUUUGAACUGUUCGCAUAAUCCCCAGAAGGCUCCAGGCUUCAUGUUGCUGCUCUGUGCCCCAGCCCUGGCGUCAGGUGGUCCUUUCUGCCCUUAGCACGUGGUGCAGAGGUAUGGUGUUCUUCCUUAGCCACUCUUGUGAACGUGGCUGACAGCUGGAGAGCCAUGGCCAUUCGGGAAACCUCUGGGCUGUAUGGACAAAUCACCUGACCCUGCGGCAAGCAGCUUCCCAGAGGGAGGAGACGCUUUCACGCACCAGCUCAUCUCAGAAGCAACUAUAGGACCAUCCAAUCAGGAACAGAGUGAGCUGAGAAGAGGAAAUGAAUUCUCCUGCCUUCCUACAUCUGAAACCUGAUGCACACCCCGUGCCCAAAGCAUCUUUCUGUGACAGAAGGGAAGUUGCCACUGGCACCAACAGAAGCUUCCUUCUUGGGACAAACAGCAACUGUGAAGGAGUUCCUAAGUAUGUGAGUAGGCAAGUGACACACUUCUCCGUGCAUCAUGGUCACAAUCUUGAUUCCCCCCCCCCACUUGUAUUAAAGAAGAUUACUUCCAUGAUUUAAAGUAAUAACCUCAAGACCAGUUCUUGUUCUCACUCACAUGCACCCAUUGUGGCUUUAAAGGCACACAUGCGUUCACACACAAAAACUAGGCUGGAUAAGACUGGGGUCCAUCCAGUCCAGCCAUCUGCUCACUCAGCGGCCAGCCAGCUGCCUGUGGAGAAACCCACAAACCACACACGAUCGUCUCAGUAUCCUCCUGCCCAUGUCUCCCAGAAAGUGGUGUCUGUAGGCAUUGUACCUGUAAGGCUUCAGAUGCCCUAUGGCCACCGAUAGCUGCCGCCUCGAGCAAAUUCCUGUAUUGUUAGGACUGUAUGGUGUGCGAAGAAAUGCUGCCUGGAUCCUCCUGCCAGUCCGCUUGAUGAGACUGGGUUCUAGGGAGAGCAAGAGCCUUACUCUCUCUACCUUACUAGUUCCCUUCAGAUGCACAUAAACAGCAAACUCUGAUCUACUUUUUAAUAUUCGUCCUAGCUUUGUUUAAAUCUACAAUGUAACAGCAAAUAAGUUGGGGCUUGUUCAGUCUCUCCCCACUUACCUAUAAUUUAUUGUCUUGAUGAGUCAGUGUGGUGUAGUGGUUAAGAGUACAGGGCAGGGACUCGGCCCACCUGAGUUCUGGUUCCCAGGUGCCUGUGGAGACAACUGGGUGGCGUUGUCAGCCCAUCCUACCUCACGGGAUGGUGCAUAUUGCCAGGGUGAGAUUGAAAGGAGGGAGAUAAUUAUGUAAGCUGCCUUGAGUUCCUUGGAAAGACAAAAGCUGGGGAUAAAAUAAUAUAACAUAAAAAUGUUGCUCUAUCUUCAUCAAAAGCCCCAUCCAGCCACUUCAGUGAGGCCCAGCUGAAUAAGAGCAUUUGGCAAUGUGCAUCCCUCUUGCUAAGCUGACAAUUGGUAAGCAGGUUUAGAUUAAUGGGGCAAAAGCUGUGCUGUCUGUUUAAUGUGAUAAAGUAACCGAACAAACACAGACCAAAGUGAACAAUUUUGUAAAGUUGCAUUUAUUUCAAUAAAUGUUGUAUUCCAAACAACUAGACAUUAAAGUUGUAGGCAAAAAACAUUUGGAAAUAACAUUGCAAGUGUUUUUGUAAUAAAAACAGGCUGCAAAGAGCAUACCUCAUUCUGCGGCCAUUUGAAAUUUUCAAGUGCAAAGCAGAUUAUCUGAAGAGAGAGACUUCCAGAUAAUUCCCCAUGAUAAACCCUAUAACUCUCUUCAGAUUUAAUCCUUUUAGUGCCUUUGCAAUAAAUAAAUACAAAAUAUAUCUUUGUUUUCAUCAGAAACUUAAGAAAAUAUAUACAAAAUGCUAUACAUCUCGUUCCGAAAAAGGACCAGCUAUUUCGGGUAAAACAUUUGAACCUGACGUGCACACAAAUACAGAAAGAUCACAUAAUGUCAACAGUUGCAUGUAAGCUCAAGUGUUACUACAAUAGAACCUUCAAAAAACAAUGCUUGGUUAUUGUCCUAGAAAAACCAAACUUCAGUUGGUCAGUCGAUUAACAGAAGAAUGGCACACACACUGGGGCAGUGUCUUCAUUGCGUCCUUAUUUUUUAAUUUUAAUCUUGAUGGUUUCUGAAUUUCCACUUUCUAAUCUUAUUAGGUAUGGUGGAAGGGGCAAAUCAGAUGCAUUUGCACUGACUUGUCCCAUUGGCUACAAGACCAGGUCUUAGACCUUUGUGAUGUCCUCUGAUUUCAGGGGCAGGUUUUGACCCUACAAAUGUUUUAGCCUACAAGUUGCCCAUCACAUUCCUCUAUAGCCAGAUUAUUCUGGGGAAAGGCUCAAGUGAGAUUUUCACUUGAGACGAAAUAUGUAACUUGCCCUCAGUAGAGACUGCUUAUUUAGCUAUUUAUUGCCCAUUAGAUAAGUCCUGAUGAUUUGCUCUUUGUGAGGUGCUAACAAACAACAUCCAUUACUGCAUAUAAACUAUGUCCCCUAACCAUAGGUUACCGGGCCACUCAAAAUAAGGCAUGACAACAUUCUGGCUCAACGAUGUUCAUGAUACGUCCUUUUGUAGUCUCUGUAAGCAUUGCCCUCUGACUGGUCCAGCAUGCCAGAAAGUUUGUGACAGAUCAGCAGUGCUAAAAAGGUCUCACGUUGUCAGAAUUUCUGCUGGCUGCCUAAUGCUGCCUUUCGCUUCCACACCCAUAUUUACAUAGUCAGUCUCUCAACUUAGAAGUGCACUUUUUCCUGAGUAAGAUGUCUGAAUAUUCAGACUAAGUACUUAGGAGGCUGAGAUAGGAGAAGUUCACACUUGGUACAUACCACUCAUUCACUGCCUGCAAGACCUGUGGACUCUGACAAGCCCAUUGCACUUCCCUAGGCGACGGGUCUUUUUUGCCUCCGGUUGGCUUGUGGGACCAGCACGAUAGGCUUAUUGCCAAUAAGCAGGUCAGAUGCUCUAAAUCUACACUGGCCAGGGAAUGUUGGUUGUCAGAUGUGGCCACUUAGCUCAUUCAUCAUAAGAUUUCUUUUAUGUACAUCCACAAAUACAUUACAUCUCAGAAGAAGUUUGGAAGACAGGGCUUGCUGACUUCUCCGCUGAUGGUGUGCUAAGAGCAGGUGGAUAAUGCAGGCUACAUCUUCACAAUUUCAUUUUCUUAAGCACUGGAACUGGCAGAGCUUGGAAAAUCUUCACUGCAUCGUCGUCUGUGUUCAGUUUUACCCAGUAUGGCCGGAAACUGCCCUUGUAUCCAACAAAAGCCAUUUUUUCUGAAAAAAAGGAAUGCCAGAUGAGAACUGCUCUCUGUUCCUCAGAGUUGGCUUUGUGGCAGUAAUUACUGCAUGUUAGCUAGGCCUUUAAUUUUCAUAGCUGAGUAAAUUUCCAGGGAGAACUCACAGUUAAAUGUGAUUGAAUUCAGUUGCAGGUUUAGAAUUUCUGGAAAUUUACAAGCCAUGGAAACUAUCAUGAUCUCCUAAUUUCCCAACACAGUCGCAGAGAAAAGGGAAAUACUGAAGAAAAAUUUAAAUACUUAAACCAAAUAUAAAUACUACAUUAGGCUUAUUGAAUAUGUAUUACUUCGUAUAUAACUAUAACAAUGCAAGUUAUGCCAUUUGAAAGUUUAAACGUCUUUGUUUUAUUCAAAUAAUAGUUGGAAAUCCAUGUAGCCAGAGAGAUGCAGCUGUGAACGGUUGAAUUCUUAAGUAUUGGAGGAUAGAUUAGCUUUUGCUAAUUGAGAAAGUGAAGGACAAGAUGAUGGAGAAUAGAAACCAUCAACAUUGUAGGAAGCAAAGGAAAGGAGCCUUUUCUGCACUCAAAAACAGUGGGCUGCUUCACAUGAUCUAAGCCACGGUGGGUUGUGGUGAAUACUGGUGGCCAUUUUUGCAUCCAACAUGCAGCAAACGGUUGCCAUGGAUUGUGGUUUCACCCAAAUCUGGGCUGCUGGGUUUCUUUGAGGGUGCUUGACACUCAGAUAACAUGACAAGACCAUGGCAACCCACCACUACAAGCUGAAAAUUGAAAAUGGCCACCAUCAGGCACUGCAACCUAGCCUUACAUAAGCCAUGGUGGGCUGUAAUGAUCAUGUGAACCAGCCCAGCACACAGCUGUCCAGAAGAACAGUAGUGCUAAAAAGUUCUAACGUGUUUGGAUUUUUUGGUAGCCGUCUAAUACUUCUGCAUCAUUAUGUAAAACUUCAAUACUUUUAGAGUCCCAAAAAUAAACAUCCCUAUAACAUAGCAUUCCCCAGUUUUGUGCAUCCCAGGUAUUUUAGACUACAACUUCUAGCAUUCUUGAUUACUGGCUGUGGUUGAGAGACACUGAAGUCCAAAUACAGAUGGCACUAUUGUUGGGUAAGUGUAAUAGAAAUGAAACAUAGCAAUGAAUUCAGAUACGCACUUAAGCAUUGUCAAUGACACUGGAUUUUUCAUAAUAUGUCAUCAUUUUAGACAGUAUUCAAGGCUAAAUGUACUUAAGAAUCUAACCCAAUGAGAUUUGCUUCCCAGUGAAAUAUGUAACAAGUGGCUUAUAAAUACAAAGAACAUUAGCUCUUGAUUUAACUUUGAGCUGCAUUUAUAUUAGAAAAUGGAAGGCUUUCAUUAAGGUGCUUUAAAUGUAUUUUAAAAGGUAAAGGAGUCCCUGCAGAUUUUACUCCGCUUAGCUAGUGGCUAAUAGGGGGCAGCACUCAUCUCCAUUUCUAAGACUGUGAGCCAGUGCUGUCCGACAACAAUCCCACAGUCAUGUGGGCUGCAUGAUGUCAUGGAGCACUGUUACCUUUCCACUGAGGUGGUACUGAUUUAUCUACUUGCAUUACACACUUUCGAACCACUAGGUUGGCUGGGAGCCAAAGGCAAACGACGGGAGUUCACGCCAUCUGGCAGAGGCUGGGCUGGAACCGCUGGGGUGCUGACCUUUUCUGGCCGACAGUUGCAGUGUCAAACUGCUGCACCGCUACGUCUCCAUAAAUAUAAUACUUGCAAAAAUAUCUGGUGUAGCCCAGGAAGGAAAUUACCACUUUCUACCUUGCAGGGAGUCACAUGUAAACUCUCACACAAAUAUAUGAAAAUCUAGUACGACAAUCCUAUGGCUUUCGCUUUGGUUUAUCCCUGACAUGCUUGCUUUCCACGUUAAAGAAAUGCAGGUUGGGGAGAGUAGUAGGAAAUGUGAUUCCCUUAUCUAAAAGCUGAAGUGGUAGAGCCCUUCCUUGAUCAGAAGACUAUCUCUGUGCUUUUUGGGGUGAACAAGCAACUGUGUACAAACUAUUAAACUAAGCAGUUUGUCAUAAAGCAAUGUUUAAAAUAACACUUGCGUGCUUAAACAAAUAACCAUUUACCUUUCAAUUUAAAGCCUGUCUUUGCCCCAAGUUUCUCCAGGACUUUAGUCCAUGGGCCUUUUGAGAUGAAUCUCCCUUUAGAUGUCAUCAGCACUACAGAGCUACAUUAGGAAAGAAAGAAUAUAUAUAUACAGUCUAUUGAAUGAUGGAAGGUGCAUUCUUGUGACUCUAGAGGCCAUCUGAGAGGCUGUAGGGUACUUUGGAUUCAAGAUUCAGAGUCCGCAAUAAGAACAAGAAGCUGGCCACUGGUGUUCCACUCUACUUCCCCUUGCAGCUGGCACAGAAAGACCCACACUGGCUGCUACUGAGCUCCAGAACAUGACCUUGGAAAAGGGUAAAAGGUUUCUGUGGACAGGGAAGGAGGAAAUUGGAGAGGCCAUGAUACAAGCUAUCCUGAGUUAUUUUGAACCUCCUUCCCCCCCACCCCCGAAAUACUUCCGCUUGACCAGCAAAAGGCCCCUCUAGUGAACACACAGGGGGGAAGUGGGCUGGCAAAGAUCAUCUCUGCCCUUCCUCCUAACCUGCAUAGGAUGCUCUGAGUUUGCAACUUAGAAGUAUCAAGGCUACAGCCCAUCGGACUGCACCAUUAUUCACUGAAAGUACCAAAGUGCAAUGGUCAGAUGCUGCUGUCAUCCAAUUUAAGCAUAGCCCUGCUUUCUCCAAUCAUGCAAAAUGUAUUCUGAAUCUAUGCAAGCAUCUUUCCGCAGAUCAGUUUAUAUCAUAUUUUGUUCCAAUCAUGUACAGUGGGUUGGAUCCAGAUUCAGGCACAGGCAACGGCUGGCAGAAGCAAAGUUCCCAUUAGCUUACUUGUCCUGGAUUUUGUUGAUGUAGUUGUCUAUCUGGGCUGGAAUUCCUUGUAGAAUAGAGUUUUUGAAAGUUAUCCAAUCAACAACUUUUCCAUCAUGACCAUUGAUCACAACUACUUGGAUGCCAUCUUCAGAAAGAUAAAAUUUCUUGCUGUCAACCUAUACAGAAGAAAAGGCAACAAUAAGAAGUCCGUAACUGGUUUUCAAGAGACAGAUUGCUUUAUAAUGUGAUGACUUUUUCUUUAAAAAGAAAGAAUCUUCAUUAGAAAAUUUUCUAGGUUUUUUUAAUCCCUUCCCUACACUGCAGCAGUUUAAUUGCAGCUAAUUUUUGUACAUUGUUGAUUUGAAAGCAUAAUGCUAGAAAGUGGUCACAUUUUGUGUUUUUCCCUUUCACCUUUUUUUAAGCUUCUGGAAGCACUGCAAAUAUUCGAAUGUAAAAUGAAAAGGAUGAAUAUGUCAUGGGCAACUCAUGAAGAUAUUACAGAAAAUGAGUGGCAAAGCAUUCAUUCACGACUGGGGUACUUUAACAUAUUGUAGGAGGAUACUUGCAUAUGUUACUUGCACUGUAUUGCCUUUUGAUCCUAUGGCAGACUUGUUGUAUUGUGUAUUUGAUAGACUUGGGUAUUAUGAACAAGUAAUACCCUAAGUUAGAAGAAAAAAACAUUGUCCUUUGGUUCAACAGCAGUGAGGUUUGAAAUGUCAGUAAAAUGGGAAUAGAAAAGUUGGAUCUCAAUUUAGGCAUGUGCAAGCUGGACUGGCAGAAGACUCCUUCUCCACAUGCUCCUCCCCACAACAGAACCUGGAAAUACAGGGGACCUGACUGGAACAGGGAUCAGCUAAACGUGGGCAAAGGCAUCUUCCAUGCAUGAUCAGAGCCCUUCUCCUCUGGAUCUAACUGAGGGGAAAUUUUAACAUCAAUUGAAAGCUACAACAAACCAAAAAAUUAAUUAUGAUCUUAUACAGAAUUGGUGUUCAUGUCUAAAUGCACAUAACUGGACCAAAUGGAAAUACAAAGGGCUACCCAGAUUAUUUUUCAGAACAGCUUUACUGAUACAUAUUUGUUUCCAAACUAUUUUAUAAAAAGUAUUUGAAUAAAAAUUGUUCUACUUUUUACUUUU